GAUGAACGCUGGCGGCGUGCCUAAUACAUGCAAGUCGAGCGAACGGACGAGAAGCUUGCUUCUCUGAUGUUAGCGGCGGACGGGUGAGUAACACGUGGAUAACCUACCUAUAAGACUGGGAUAACUUCGGGAAACCGGAGCUAAUACCGGAUAAUAUUUUGAACCGCAUGGUUCAAAGGUGAAAGACGGUCUUGCUGUCACUUAUAGAUGGAUCCGCGCUGCAUUAGCUAGUUGGUAAGGUAACGGCUUACCAAGGCAACGAUGCAUAGCCGACCUGAGAGGGUGAUCGGCCACACUGGAACUGAGACACGGUCCAGACUCCUACGGGAGGCAGCAGUAGGGAAUCUUCCGCAAUGGGCGAAAGCCUGACGGAGCAACGCCGCGUGAGUGAUGAAGGUCUUCGGAUCGUAAAACUCUGUUAUUAGGGAAGAACAUAUGUGUAAGUAACUGUGCACAUCUUGACGGUACCCUAUCAGAAAGCCACGGCUAACUACGUGCCAGCAGCCGCGGUAAUACGUAGGUGGGCAGCGUUAUCCGGAAUUAUUGGGGCGUAAAGCGCGCGUAGCGGUUUUUUAGUCUGAUGUGAAAGCCCACGGCUCAACCGUGGAGGGUCAUUGGAAACUGGAAAACUUGAGUGCAGAAGAGGAAAGUGGAAUUCCAUGUGUAGCGGUGAAAUGCGCAGAGAUAUGGAGGAACACCAGUGGCGAAGGCGACUUUCUGGUCUGUAACUGACGCUGAUGUGCGAAAGCGUGGGGAUCAAACAGGAUUAGAUACCCUGGUAGUCCACGCCGUAAACGAUGAGUGCUAAGUGUUAGGGGGUUUCCGCCCCUUAGUGCUGCAGCUAACGCAUUAAGCACUCCGCCUGGGGAGUACGACCGCAAGGUUGAAACUCAAAGGAAUUGACGGGGACCCGCACAAGCGGUGGAGCAUGUGGUUUAAUUCGAAGCAACGCGGAGAACCUUACCAAAUCUUGACAUCCUUUGACAACUCUAGAGAUAGAGCCUUCCCCUUCGGGGGACAAAGUGACAGGUGGUGCAUGGUUGUCGUCAGCUCGUGUCGUGAGAUGUUGGGUUAAGUCCCGCAACGAGCGCAACCCUUAAGCUUAGUUGCCAUCAUUAAGUUGGGCACUCUAAGUUGACUGCCGGUGACAAACCGGAGGAAGGUGGGGAUGACGUCAAAUCAUCAUGCCCCUUAUGAUUUGGGCUACACACGUGCUACAAUGGACAAUACAAAGGGCAGCGAAACCGCGAGGUCAAGCAAAUCCCAUAAAGUUGUUCUCAGUUCGGAUUGUAGUCUGCAACUCGACUACAUGAAGCUGGAAUCGCUAGUAAUCGUAGAUCAGCAUGCUACGGUGAAUACGUUCCCGGGUCU
rnacentral:rRNA from 1 species